GGGAAAUGUAGUUAGGCACGAGCAGCUGCCGUUAGCUGCGGGUUUGCUGCCGGCACCGCGGCUCCUCGGCUGUUCGCGGCUCCGAUCGACUUCCCACGAGUUCCUGCUGUUCUUAUGCUCCACGCUCCCCAGUUUGAAACACACAAUACCUCCAAUGGAAACACGAUCUGCACCAUCAGCUUCAGACGUGUUCUUGGAGCCCUGACCAAAGAAUCUACCUCGAAUUGGGGACUUUGUGAGCGUUAACCCUGCGAGGAACGUCAAGCAGAGCGCUGGAGAAGCUUGUGGCCCCCAUGCCAAACAACGUCACAGCACGCUCAGGUACCCUCCGUUGGCUUCAAGAUCUUUUGGAGGGAAAACUAGGCCAUGUCGUUACUGGGAGAGACACUCCAAGCAGAUCAGAAGAGGGAAAAGCAAUCCAGGACCCAGGAUUGAACUCAAGCUUUGGUGGCAAGCGCCCUUACCCACUGAGCCACGUCACCAGCUGCUCUCAAACGCUUGAUGCUUUUGCCUGAGUCUCCCAAGUGCUGGGAUUGCAGGCCUCCACUGCCACACCUGAUUCUGUCUCAUCUGCUGCUGCUAAAAGCACAAGGGCCAUCAAGACCACCUUCUAAAUCUGUCUCCUCCAUCAUGUUUUUGUCCUGUGUGAGCACUUUAGGUCCUAAGUGCUCCAAGGCUCCAUCCCUGUCCUCAUCCUUGUCUUGUGAGAUGGGAGCGCCCCUGAGUUCCGAGCUUCCUCACUGCUGACAAGCACCCACCCUCUUCCCAGCUGAUGAAUAAGACUUGAUUGGCCCCCUGAACCAUCACCACCCCCGAUUCAUUCCUUUCAAAGGCUUUCACUCCAAAUGGCUCAUCUGACGCCACUGCGGCCCCCUCGGGGCUCACGUGGAGGAUGUUGCUGUCUCCUGUGAUGCUCUCCCAGUGAUGAGCUCUGACGUGGGUUCGAGACUAUUCAGGUGCUGCACCCGCCCUGUGAUUUUCUCCUCUCUGUGGCUGCUCGCCUCAUCCGAGGAGCUUCCUCGAGACCUGAAUUCAUCGCGAGCGAGUCUCUCCAAUUUAACAUUUGAAGGUGAGCCACAUGUUGUCCUUUGCAUUCUCCAUGGAUUCUUCAAGUGCCAAAACACCGAGGAAGGUGCAGUGGCUUGUGUCACUAUGGACACUGUGGCAUAGGAGGUGGCUCUGGCCAUUUGCCUUUGAAGAUGAAGCUCGCCUUCCCAGACGAUUUUCUGUCUUUCCCUUCAAGGUCUUCCAGGGAGGAAAGGGAUUUCUUAGCACUUCCUCUUCCUCCCUACUCUGCCCACCAGGCAGCCCAGCCAUGUUAGCUCUGAAGACCCAUGAGGUGACAGGAGCCUGCGUUGGAGAUGUUACUAGUUAGUUGGUGUUGUGCUUGGACAUAGGAAUGAGCUUGGGGAAGGACACUUGAUGAUUAAGAAAGAAGGGGCACUGGUGUGUGUCUCCACCAUAUCCAGGCUGUGGGAGAGGCUGGCUCAGGGACCACCCCUCAUGUGAACUCAGAGCUCUGCUGGCUCAGCUUCCAUGGCACAUAGGGCUGUACCUGUUGAGGAAAUGGUUACUUCCAGACUUAGUAGACAGACAGUUCAUGGAGGUAACACACAGACUAGAAAGUGAAGGAGUACAGAGUUCUAGGUCCCACCAAGGCUAGAUGUCCCCUUCCUUGCUGGUUAUAAAAAUCUCUUGUCAUGUAUAAAAAGGUAGGGUGGCAAAUAUCUCUAAACCCAAGUUCUCAUGUGGCCACAGUUCCCUUCUGGCCCUUUAAAUGGAGUAUGUUAAGGGAUGGGGAUGUAGUUCAAUUGGUAGGGUGCUUACUUAGUAUGCACAAGGCCUUGGGUUCCGUUUGUAGUGCUCCAUGAGCCAGGUGUGGUGGCACAUGCUUGUGAUCCCAGCACUUGGGAACAUGUGGACGGCUCACCAAGUGCCCAGGCACACAGGGAAGGGAGUGUCUGGUAGAGGCCACAUAAGAAUCCGUUUGUCCCCAGUGUUCCGUACUCCUGUCUUGGAAAUAUAAUGCUAUAAUGUGAUUUGUACUAAGUCUCUAGAACAUUCCCUCCAGUUGCACCAAUAAUGACUGUCCCAAGGACGCAUUCAAUUAAAAAAAAAAUGGUACAAAUGGAGAGAGGAGCCACAAGCAGAGGAAAUGCAGGCUCUUGAAGAAACAAAGGCCUGAGGAGAGAGGUCACUGCCCCAGGCACCCAGGGAGCUGUUGAAGUCCACCCUAGAAGGGGCUUCUAGCACCCUGCUCAAGCCGGCAGUCUAGAAAGCUGUGCAGAUGCCCUUGCUGGUCCUGACAGCACACACCAGGAGGUUCAUCACUCAGGACAUGGAGGCAAGGCAUUCUCCAGAGUCAUCCUUGCCUACAAAGUGCCUUUAAGGGUAUCCUGGGCAUCAUACUUGAAAUCCUUUCUCAAAAAAAAAUUUUUUUAAGCCCAAUGCUGUAUUUCCCAUCACCCUACUUCCUGUUCCGAGGUUACCAGUAGGGCUCCCAGCCAUUCUUUUGAGACAGUUGUAGCUUCACUGAGGUCCCUGGCUCCCUCUCUCUCUGUAUAUAUUUUUUUUGUUUUGCUUUGUUUGUUUCUCAAGGGUGUUUCUGUGUAGCUCUGGCUGUUCUAGAACUCGCUCUGUAGACCAGGCUGGCCUCAAACUCAGAGAUCCACCUGCCUCUGCUUCCUGAGUAUGUGAGAGACUCUUGUCACAGUACCUGAUGUGUUAGUGCUCACAGUGACUUGGGAGUCCCAUGCAGCGUCUCACUUAAUCUUCUCAGCAAACCUUUGGAAUAAGCCUUUGGGCCAUGAUACAACUGAAGGAAAUAGGUGUGGAGAGUGUUACUCAUCUCUCAAAGCCAUGCAACUCCUGGGUGGAGGAACCAGGGCUCCAAUGCACACCUUCCCAAUAAUUGUGCCCGUAAAAGUCCCAGUGUUGGUAGCAGGAGUUUCAGUUCCAUUUGCUGGGAUAAGCAGCCUGCUUUCUGGACUUGUGACCUUUUGAAAACAGCACUGCUUCCCCAAUCUCAUCUUCAGGCUGCCCGACCCUAUUCAGUACGUUACAGGAGCUUAUACUUCCUAUGAGAGACAUUGGCUUCCUACCAGCAGACACUAGCAUAUCUGCUGUGGGAAUUGAGGGGGUUCUUGAGUUGGGGCACACUCAACAGCCUCUGGUUCUGCCAUCGACUCUGCAAGUCAGGCAUCCUUAUGUUUUAUUUCUGUUCCGCUAUGUUUGGGACCUCCACUGGAUUGUCUGGAGAUAGUGGACAUGUACAAUAGGUAGGGCUCUGUGUCUGGAGCCUUGGCUCUGUCUGCCAGCUGGGUUCCUCCUCUCCCUGUGACAUCAUCUGGGGCUAAGAUGCCUAAAGAGGCUCUGGCAGGCCCCUGGUGCCUCCACCUUCUUUUAUGUGUCCACUCUCUCAGAAGACUGGCUCUAUCUUAUGGUCUCUGGGCUAUCAGAGCCCACUGUCUCUCUCUCCACUGCACUCCACUUUACCUCUAGCCAGUGCUACCUAGGAGGUAGCACCAUAUACUACAAGAGUCCACCCCUGUGCAUGCACUCUGUUUUUUGGACCAGAAUGAGAUAGAUCUAAGGUGGCCAGUAACUUUUGAAGGUAUUUGACUCAAAAAUGGAAGGAAAUCCAGUUCAGCCAGUUAGAUUUCGCCUUUUUUAGAAAUCUGAACCUGAAAGACUGAUUGACAGUAUGUAACCAGAUGUUAGGAUAGUAAGUAGGUUUUUGAUGAUCUAAUGUUCUGGCCAAAAUCACAAUGGAGAAAGUGAGGAAACAAGUGGAUGAAAUGGAGAAAACUGCACUUACUGUGGAGGAGGAAGUGACCCUUUGGAAAAGGAGACUGACUGCCCUGCAUGUCACUUAGCAGGCUUGUCGCUUUUGCUUUUGCUGUUGACUUAGAAGUGGUCAUGUGAUUCAGUUCUGCUAAUACACUUAUGGGGAAAUGGUUGGAACCAUCUUGAAUCCAUGAGGCAACGAGUCCAAGGGGAGACAACCAGAUAAGGAUGGCAGGGCAGACAGGUGAGCAGAAAGGAGCCUGGGUCACUGAUGAUACUGCUGAGCCCCUGUCCCGGAACCAUCUCCUUCCAGCCUGGCUGCUGUGCAGGCCUGCUGUCUCCUGAGCCCUCCUGCCCUUGUGGCCCUUCACCAAACUGCCCUGCCUCUCCUCCGAGCAUCCCUUGCUGCUGCUGCUCUAUCGGUUUUUCUGUGGUUCUCAGUGGAGAAAACCCAAGCUGCUUUCCUUGAGUGUUGGUGGAAGCCGUCGGGCUUGGCUGAUAGGAAACUGACAGAAACAACACCAGUGGCAAGAUCUGUCACAGCCUACAGAACAACCCCAGUGAUUAGUCAUAGCCCUGCAAGCACACUCGGUGGGCACAGACCAGGAAGGAUAAAUAGUUCUGGAAAUUUACAUGUGCAUGAGCCCAAGUCUUCUCAGACACAGAAAAAUAUAUUGGGGGUGGGGGCAGUGCCUGCAAUCCAGAGCCCAAAGAGUGAGAAGUCAGGACAGGCCAGGUGUGUAAAUUCUGUGGACAGGUGCCAGUAUCUACAGCCGGUUGUUGUGAGCAAUGCACAGGAGCUUGGGAGCAGUUUGUGCUGCUCCCUCUCUAUGCUGGGGCAUGUGCCAUCUUCAUGCCUUCCCUCUCUUCCUCCCUCCCUCUCCCUUCCCUCCCUCUCUCUCCCUCCCUCCAUCUCCCUCCCUCUCUCUCCCUUCCUCCCUCCCUUUUUUCUUCUACCUUUUGUUUAAGGGAAGCAGGCUUGACCCAGCAGUGCACACAGCUAACCCGAGUUUCUUCCAGGCAGCUAAGCACUGGGAGACAGGAGGCUGGGAGUGUGGCUCAGUUGGCAGAGUGCUUGCCUAGCAGACACCACCGCAUACACUAGGCAUGGUGGAUGCUUGUAACCCUCCCCUCGGGAGGGGGAGCAGGAGGACAAGUCCAAGACCAAUGGAGAAGCUGAACCUGGCACCUCCUCUUUGAAACUCUAAAAAGCCAGGCUUCUGCUGGUGCCUCAGCUGAAACUGACAGAUAGUCAUUUCCCCCAUUGGAAGCAGACUCUAGCAAAAGCCGUCCUCCCUCGGGGGCAUCUCAGAAUAACCACAGGGGCCCGUCAUGGAUGUGUUAAGUCAAUGAGAGGCUCUGAUGGAGACUCGACACCAGCCCUCAGGACAUGGCCUGUGUGCCUCACAUCCCAAAUGCCAAGGCCAGUAGCUCACAUUUGAGUAUUGUAGACUUGAUUCGCUCAAUGGGAAUAGACUAAAACCAGCAAAGCAAAUCUCAAUUUGUAAAAGGGACAAGGAAGAUCACCAGAGAGGGGAAAGCAAAAAGCAAAAAAACAAACAUAAAAACUCCUGUGAGGUAGAAAAGGCAAAAAAAAUGUUUGUGUACCUUGUGGCAGAAUUAGGGCCUCCCCUAUACUUUUUUUGUAUGUACAGUACUGGAGAUUAAAUGAACCUCAAAACAUUCUGGAAAGUGCUCUCACUGAGCCACACCCCAGCCCCUCACUGGGGGAUUCUAGGCAGGUGCUCUACUGCUAAUCCACGCCCCCAGCCCUCUUUUGACUUUUGCUUUUGAGACAAGGUCUUACUGAGUUGCCUAGGCUGGCCUGAAUCUCUGUAGCCCAGGCUGUCCUUGGACUCACAUCCUUCUUCCUGCUUAGCCUACUGAGUCACUGAGUAGGGAUUAUAGAUUUGCCCUCAAGUCUGUAUCAGAGUUGCCAAGCUUUUGCUGACACUCUUCCCACUCCCACCCCUACCCCCAGAAAGCCUCCAUGUAGGGACUAUAGGAAGCGGCAGCUUCCUCGUUCCUCCACAUGAAGGCUUUACUUCAGGCAGCCGUGGGGUGAUGUGUUCAAGCUUCUCCCACAACCUUUAAGGGUGCCCUUUCUUUCCAAUGGGGUCUCAGAUGAGAAGCGUUGGGCCAGUUUUCUCUUGUAGCUUCCUCUCCAAGGCAACAGCCACAUUCAGCACACUCCCCACCACGUCUCCUAAGUGCAUCAUCAUGUCCCUUACGUGACCAAUUGACUCAGCUGAGACAGUCUGUAGGUUAGGAUUCCGACCAAAGGUUCUUCACCACCCAUUAUCUCCCCAGGGGCCCUGUCUGCUACAAAUUCCCAGCUGUCUAAUUAGUUCUAAGGCAUUUGUGAAAGGGAUGAAGUGACUACAUACCUUUGCGAGGAUAGGGCUUUUCUCCAGUGUGAAUUGUCUGACGUUGGAUGAGUUUCCUCAUCUUGAAAGCCCGUAGGCAGUCUCUGUUGUGGGUUUCUGUUAGGUGGAAAGCAGCCAAGGUGUGUGGGGAUGCUGGCCGAAGCCUCCCACAUCCCCAGGGUUCUCUCCAAGGUGGAUGAUGUGACAAUGUUGACAAGGAUGAUAGUCCCCAGGAAAACUGUAUUCACAACAGUCCCCACUGUUCCUGCCAGUACCAGCACUGUAAUUCUGAAUAAACUUGAUCCAGAAAUAAAACUCGGCCACACUUA
ensembl:lncRNA